rnacentral:rRNA from 1 species
UACGUAGGGUCCGAGCGUUGUCCGGAAUUACUGGGCGUAAAGCGUGCGCAGGCGGCUUCUUAGGCAUGACGUGAAAGCCCCGGGCUCAACCCGGGGAGGGUCGUCGUGAACCGGGGGGCUUGAGGCCGGUAGAGGUGGGGUGGAACUCCUGGUGGAGUGGUGAAAUGCGUAGAGAUCAGGAAGAACACCCGGUGGCGAAGGCGGCC